UACGGGGGGGCAAGCGUUGUUCGGAAUUACUGGGCGUAAAGGGCGCGUAGGCGGGCAGGCAAGUCUGGGGUGAAAUCUUUCGGCUUAACCGGAAAAGUGCCUUGGAUACUGCUUGUCUCGAGGGAGGUAGGGGCAGAUGGAACUUCCGGUGGAGCGGUGAAAUGCGUUGAUAUCGGAAGGAACGCCGGUGGCGAAAGCGAUCUGCUGGACCUCUUCUGACGCUGAGGCGCGAAAGCUAGGGGAGCAAACGGG
rnacentral:rRNA from 1 species